ACCGAAACACAACCUCACUUCAUUAACCAUGAAACGUUAAUUCACAACUUGUGUCGUCUGUCGAGGCAUCUAAAGUCUAAACGGUGCGUUUAAGGUGCUUGCCUGGGCGGUGGGAGAGAGGAGAGACCUGGGAAAUUUUUCGAGGGAGAAGGAGAGAGGGAAAGAGAGAGAAAAUGGCGUUAAAUUCUUACAGAUGGGGUUAUGUUCGGAUCAUUACCGGCACAAUUCUUGGUGGCAUCCUCGGUUUCUACGUUAUGCAUCGUGUCGAAGUUAGCUACAAGGAGAAGAUGAAGGAGAGAUUGAGAAAAUACGAAAGUGAACUCAAGAAGAAAGAAAAAUUGAAUCAGCUUGAAGAUUCAAUGUAGCUUCUUUCUUGUUUUUGCUUUUUCUUUUUGGUGUUUUUAGUUUUUGGUUUCAUUUUUGUUUUUGUUUUUGUUUCCCCAUUUGGUUGCAAGAAAAGGGUGGAAAGGGAGAGAAAAUGAUAGUAAUGCUGUAGAACUGAAAAUCAAGAAGGCUAAUAGGAGUAUAGAGCUAGUUGGCAUGCCUUGAGCACAAUUUUGGAAUGUACUAUACGAACAUAAAUCAUUUUUGAAUCGGAUGAAAAAUUGCUGCUUUAAUAACAAUCAGCUGGUCUGGGGCACGAAGAUACCAAAAGCAAAUGACAAGGAAGAACAAAUGACAAAGAAAUGAUGGAGAAAACUAUUACAGGAGUAAACCAUUCUUUCCAGUUUCCAGUCUUGAGAGUACUAAGGCUAAGAGUUUGUCCUUAUCACCUUCCUCAGGAUCCCGUGUUCUGGAUGAACGUACAAAAUGUUAGCCAAAGCGAAUCUCUGAUGAAAUCCUUUGAUUUUGGUUAUCUUUUCUGCAAAGCAUGGAUUUCCUUUGUGUUUUUUUUUUUUUUUUUCUCUUCCCUCGGGGUAUGUCUGAGGGAAAGAAAAAAGAAAAGAAAAGAAGGGAAUUUAUUUUUCACUCUAUUUUUUCUUUAUGGCAUACACUACUAAAAUGAAUAUCUAUUCUAAUGGAAGAAUAGACUUGAGUUGAAUUAUAAUCUUGUAAAUGGAAUGCAGGAUGAACUAACUGCAUAUUGGGUAUGCAAGAGAGUAAUCAAAUGGAGUCGAGGAAUAGAUUCAAAUUUUCAUUCCAUUA